rnacentral:lncRNA from 10 species
GGCUGGAGUACAGUGGCACAACCUCUGCUCACUGCAGCCUCCACCUGCCAGGCUCAAGCAAUGCUCCUGCCUCAGCCUCCCGAGUAGCUGGGAUUACAGGGUUUGGUUAUCCAAGGAGCAGUGCUGAGCUCCUUGCUAAUGGGAUAUGGGAUGCUGGUGAUUUCCAGGAAGUGAGCUCACAAUGACUCAAGCUGCCACAUAGUGUUGAUUGUGAAAUGCCAGUUGAAGCAUAUGUCCUGCGAGCUUGGGGGUGCUACAAGUUGACCACUGCAGCAGUAAAGAUGACUCUGAAGAAUGGCGUGGGAUGGAUCCUUUCAAAUGCACUUGAGCAGCAGUCUCCAACCACAGGGCCACAGAGCUGGAG